GGGGAGCUCAGAUUUUAAGACAGUAGCUUGCUGAUGCUCCCAGCUGAAUAAAGCCCUUCCUUCUACAACUUGGUGUCUGAGGGGUUUUGUCUGCAGCUCGUCCUGCUACAAUGGUGGUUCCUUUAUAGGAUAUUCAUGAUUCCCUACCUUGAAUCAAUGCCGCCAUCUUCCUUUUAACUCAGCGGCAGCAUGAACUUCUCCCAGUAGCCUCUUUGUCCGUGAAUAUGGACAAGUGGAAGAGAAAAACCACAGAGGAGAAUUUGAGCUGAAUUUGUCUUUCAACUAUCAAGAUUUACAUUUUCUUUGUCUUUUUUUACCUUUUUUUUUUGUUGUUGUUUCUUUAUUCUUUGCUCUAUAUUGUGUGGGUACUUGCCACAAAGUUUAUGUUUUAUCUCUAAAUGUAUAACAAAAAAGUAUUUCAAAAGAUGAAUGUGAGCUUUAUAAAGUAGUGGUUAAAUACUAGGGCUUUCCAGUUAAAUGGACAUGGAUUUGAAAGGUGAUUCUAGUACUGUAAAGGCAAAUUUCUUAACCUCUCUAUGCUCAGGUUUCUAAAGUUAAAAUAGGAAUAAAAAUAAUACUAAUC
rnacentral:lncRNA from 1 species